GUGUUUGGCUCAGCUUGGUUAAGUACAUAUUAUGGUUAAUAGUGUUUGAUGAAAUGCUUGUUGCCCUUGUUGUUUGUGAAAUGGACAGUCGCCGAGGAGGAAUUGCUGCAGGGUGAUGUCGUCGCCGAGGGAUGGGAAGAAGGGAAAUAAGACGAUGACAAUUGAUGUGCGCGUUUGCCGGGAAGGCGAGAUUAGUGAGAUCUAGCUACCUCCCAUUUCUUUGUUUGUGAUUCUUGGCCUGGGAUUGGGGAGGGCAAAGGGCUUUGAAUCAUGACCGCGACUCGGCUCAGACCUCUACAAAGAAACUAGAUGAAAAGGAGAGGCAGAGAGAUUCGCCAUGUAUUAUUUAUGUUUUUUGGCUGUAGGGUUCAGCUCGCUAUUUAUUAUUUUAUCUGUAUUCUAUAUUUCUAUUUCUAUAUGCUUGCCUCUAUGUAUGCAGCUGGUCACGAGGGGCUGGAAAUUUUCUUGUGACAUCACUGGGAUGCUCUGGUCCAGACUUGUUUCCGUUGCCUCCAGACUCUUCCUGUACGUGAUAUAGAUAUAGAUGUCAAUAUAUGUAGUAGUAUAUAGUCACGGCAUCAGUAUUAUAAGCAUUCAAAAAUCAAAAACGCUAGGCCUCCUAAAAGGUGACCCGGUCUCAUUCCACAAC
rnacentral:lncRNA from 1 species